UACGUAGGUGGCAAGCGUUACUCGGAAUCACUAGGCGUAAAGCGCGCGUAGGUGGUUCGCUAAGUUGGAUGUGAAAUCCCCGGGCUCAACCUGGGAACUGCAUUCAAAACUGACGAGCUAGAGUAUGGUAGAGGGUGGUGGAAUUUCCUGUGUAGCGGUGAAAUGCGUAGAUAUAGGAAGGAACACCAGUGGCGAAGGCGACCACCUGGACUGAUACUGACACUGAGGUGCGAAAGCGUGGGGAGCAAACAGG
rnacentral:rRNA from 1 species